GAUAGUGAACCAGUACCGUGAGGGAAAGGCGAAAAGAACCCCGGCGAGGGGAGUGAAAAAGAACCUGAAACCGUGUACGUACAAGCAGUGGGAGCACCUUCGGGUGUGACUGCGUACCUUUUGUAUAAUGGGUCAGCGACUUAUAUUCUGUAGCAAGGUUAACCGUAUAGGGGAGCCGCAGGGAAACCGAGUCUUAACUGGGCGUUAAGUUGCAGGGUAUAGACCCGAAACCCGGUGAUCUAGCCAUGGGCAGGUUGAAGGUUGGGUAACACUAACUGGAGGACCGAACCGA
rnacentral:rRNA from 1 species